GGUGGGGGAGAAAUCAGCUCAGUUGGUGAGAGCGUGGUGCAGAUAACCCCAAGGUUGCGGGUUUGAACCCUGUACAGGCCACCU